CAAAUGAUAGCGAGUCGUUACUCGUACUUUUUGUAAAUGCAAAUUUUUAAUUUACCCUGAAACUAUAACGAAAAUGUUCGUAUAAAUUCUGCGCAGAAUAUUUUAAAGAAUACAGCAGUAGAAUGUUCUUCUCAAAGCAUUUGAUAUACAGCUGAAUUCCAAUUACUGAAAGUCUAAAUAUUUAGUUUUUUUUUUUUUUAUUUAUUUUUUUUUUUUUAUUACAUGCUUCGACAUUAGUCACUACAUGGAAAGAGAAGGAUUCUCCUUGGAGGACAUUUGAAGGGAAACUGUGUCAUAUCCACGCUACACAUGAGAAAAUCAAACACCCAAUGCAGCCUGAUCGUUCGCCAAGAAUAUAAACCCCUGACAGAACUACCAGUGUUCAGCAUCUUUUAUCUUUGUUUCUUGCUCGCUUUGAGGUCGCUUCUGAAUGACUUUGGAAUAUCCUCUGGACAGACGAAGAUCAUUUUCUUUUGGACGGUGCAGUGAAUACUCACAACUACCGAGUUUGGGAAUCAGAAAAUCCGCGCCCUGUCAUAGAGGUUCCAUUGCAUUCGCCAAAAGUGACACUAUGGUGUGGAUUUUCUACGUCAUUUAUUCUUGGUCCGUACUUCUUUGAAAACUUAAGUUCGAAUAUCACCAAACAGCGAUACGCAUCGCCUUAAAGAACGAAAGUGUUCCGUCUCUUGCAAGCACGAUAGAGCCUUUCACACACAAUCUUCAUGCAACAUAGAGUUCUUCCACACAUUGUGUUACGAAUGUUCUUAAACCUCAUUUCACAGAACAAUGUAUCAUUAGCCAGCAUUUUCGUGAUGUGUGGCCACCCCAAUCCCCGGACGUCAAUCCAUGCGAUUUUUGUCUUUGAGGAUAUUAGAAACAUCUGGUAAAUAGUGACAAUCCAAGAACUUUACCUGAUCUAAAACCAAGAAUUUCACGCCACGUCACAGCACAUACUUCGGUCAGUUGUGAAACAUGUCAUCUUGCAAUUUCACAUAGUAGCUGAAAAUGAUGGCCAUCAUGUGGAACAUGUUUUUUUGUAACCAAAUUCGUAAAAUUAUAAAGCUAUAUUAAAGGUAUGACUAAACGUGUAA